CGCUCUCGCUCACGCCCGUACGUUCGACGCGUAUACACACACCCACCACCACCGCACGAAGAGGAACGAAAGAAGAGAAAACUCUCAAGGGUCGUGAGACGGUCUUUCUUUCGGCUGCACAGCCUACCACUCUACGACAUACGUCGCGAAUGCGCUGUCUUCAAAAGGGGCAAGGCCAUCAUAGUUAGUGGUAGAGGAAUAAACAACUGCAACAGUGCAGGCGCUCCCUUUCACAUUAUUCCUCUCGUUUUGUGGAGGGGUGAGACACCACUCACAAUAGGUAGGGUGGGGCCGUCUCCUUGUAGAGGAAAGAGGGCUACGAGAGACAGCGACGCUACCUCGACGUACACGUGGGGCGUUCGUCGUCAACGGUCUCCCUGCACCCCUCCCUCCUCCGUUUCCGCGUUUCAUUUAUUACAGCUUUGUCGCUGCUGCGCUUGUACGUCGGUGCAUUGUGGUCUUGCUCGUGGCACUCGGUCUCCGCUCGUAUAUCUGUCUCUUUCAGACGCUGCCGCGCUCUCUCCCUCUCUGAUUGGUAUACCUAAUUAUAUAUAUAUAUAUAAUAAUUUUUCCUUGCUCGCGCGCCAGUAGUCGCCAACUAGAGUGUCUGAUUGUGAUGGAAGUGCGUGGGUGACCCUCGCUGUUGCCAACCUCCGUUUUCUUCUCCCUCCCUCUUCUUGUUUUAGUUUUUUUUUCGGUUUCUUGUUUUUUUUUUUGGUGUGUUGUUCCUCGCCACUUUCGUUUUCUGUUUGGGUUGCUGUUGUUGCUGUUCUUCCUUGGUCCUUAUCGCCUUUUUUGCUACUGUGCUCUUGUCUCUAUCUGCCCAUCUGACACCCUACGUCGCUGUCACUUCGGCCGUGUGCGUUAUCUGCGUCGUGGUGAGCUCAGUGAGUCUUCUCUCUCGUUUUUUUAUCUUGAGAGCGUGUGUGCGCCAGCCUUCUCCACCCUCGUGCCUGUGGCUGCGCACGAAGGACGAGCAGGAUCGAGCGAAAACACGCAGUUGCCCAAUAAUCGCACACACGCAUACGCACUCUCGUGCUCACGGCGUCUCGCCUCUCGUUGGCCAGUUCUUCCAUUCCCCCUUUUUUCUGUUUCGUUUGCUGUUCUGCUGCUGCUGCUGUUCCUGUCACCCCCCCCUCCCCACCCAUUUUCUCCCUCCAUCUAAGCGAAACUUGCCACCAUUUUUGUGGUUACCCGAGUCUGACAAGCAUACACACGUACACACACACACACACGAGGUGCGGUGCAUAAGCGAGAGAAGAUGCUCGAGGGCCACGUUGCAGAGCUGCUGGCGAGGCAUCUGAGCCGCUUUAUCAAAAAUGUAAACGCAAGUCAAUUGCAGAUUUCGCUGUGGUCCGGCAACGUAGUGCUGAAUAAUGUGGAGCUUCGCAGUGACGCCCUAGAGCGCAUUGCCGCGCUUUUGCACGGCGAGCGCAGCGGCGUUGAGACAAAAGACGCGGGCGCGUCCGCAUCAGCAGCAGCCGGCACGCCUAGCGGUUCAUCAAAGUCGCACGAGGGCGGCUCGUCUAGCUCAACCCUUUCUGUGCGUAUGCUACUUGCGCCCUUCACGGUCGUGAAGGGCGUUAUUCGACAGCUGGCUAUCACCGUACCAUGGGCUUCGCUGGAGAGUGAGCCGGUGCGGGUGGACGUUGCAGGGGUUGAGCUGGUCCUAGGUCCUCUACGCGCGCGUCCUUUUAAUGCACGGGAAGAGCAGGAGCGGGAGCAGGCAAUCAAGCAACGGCAGCUCGAGCGGUACGAAAAGGAGCGUCAUCGCCUUUCUCGCGAAGGGGCAGAGGAAACGGUGAGUGAGACAUCGUCAAAUAUGACAGCGAGCAUGGAAUCGAGACAUGUGAAACGAGGAGAUGGGCCCGCAAUUGCGGGCACGAGCCGCGCAUCUGGUGCGUCAUGGUUUAGCUGGCUGUGGGAUUUUGACCGCCUGAGCCAGAUUGCAGUGCGCAACGUAAGGGUGAACUUGCAGGACGUUUCCAUGCGCUGUGAGUUCGACUACGAGGGCCUGCACCCCUCCUGCGCGUCUGCGUUCUGCGUCUUUGUAAAGCAGGUGCAGCUGACCACGGCCGACGAGAAGUUCAAGGAUGUGUUCAACAAGGAACUUCUCACGCCGCUGUGCAAGAAGAUUGCACUGUCAGAGGUAGUUGUCAGCGUUCACGCUAUCCGACAGAGUCCUCGCGGGGUAUUCGGUAGCGCAAGAGAGAGCGGAAACGGUCCGGCGUCCAGCGCUGCAAGUGAGCCAGCGUCUUGCGCGGCUGCAUACGACACGUACGCGUCGCGCUGGGCGCUCUCCGCGGCAAUACUGCGUGUCCAGACACUCCAGCUGCAGGCAAAGUUGGUACCGCCCGGGUGUGUGUCCAAAAACGCGAUUGUGGAGGAGAUGCCGAUACUGUCGGCGAGCUCCACAGAGCUGAGGGUGACGACUGCUGACAGCAUCGAAGUCGACGUGUGCUUUGGUGUCGUGCAGGUGCUCGAGUCCAUGUGGCGUAACUAUCAGCAAAGCCUGCCUUGCGCGCGAUAUCGAAAGCGUCUGCAUCUGCUGCGGCCCACCGGGGGACAUGCAACGCAUACCCGUGUCCUUCGUCAGGCGUCGGAGCCGAAUAGUGUGAGUCUGUCACAGGAUGCUGCGACCGCCUGGCGACCAUCGGCGCAGCAGAGGUGGCGGUUCGCGUUACGGUGCGUGCUGGACGAUGUACGGCAGCAUCGGCAGAUCUUCGGCUUGCACGAAUGGAAACGGUGCGAAGUAGUGGAGGCGAUGGUGCAAUUCGGGCAGCUGCGUAGAGUCUACACCGAGUACUGGAAGCGCGCCAAGGGGGUCAUCUGGGCCCCGCCCUUGAGCGCAUUGGAGGAGAAGCGGUUGAAGUCGAUGGAGCGGCAGCUGUCAUUGUGGCAAGUUAUUUAUCUGCGGUGCCUUUCUCAUGCACAGCUCGUUGUAGAGCAAGAGAGCUAUGCGCGGCAGCAGGACUACAUUGAAGAGGCCCGCCAGCGCAUCAAAAGCGGCUUACUGAGCUCAAGCGGGAACGACGGGGGCGGCAGACCGACAUCGUUUCUGUGGGAUUGGCUUUUUGGCAGGUCCACACGCAAGAAUGAUACUGCAACUCUGUCGAGGAAAUCGUUGGCUUCCAUCGCGUCUCGCGACGGCGUGGGCGUGAUAUCGGUGCCCACGUACAGAGGCUUUUGCUUUCGCGACUUGGUGGCGCUGGAGUGGGACCUUGGGCGACGCUAUACCUCCCCGCACUACGCUCGCUUGGCGCACCCGAGGGCACCACAAAACCGCCUACCCGAGCUGGCAGCGGAGAACAGGUUGUACUUCACGUUGCGUGCGCUUUUUCCGAAGCUUAUCGUCCGCAUUGAUCCUAUCUACUGGCCUCUGACAUACGAUAGCAGUGUGCCAGCGACGCCGUCCGCUACCCCGCUGCAGCGUGUUGAGCAGCGUCUUGUUGCCCAACUACGCGCGAUGGAGCUCUUCUACACCACCAUUCCCGACGACCGGCCAGAAAAGGCGUCCCUGUCCUUUUUUCUUGGCUCCGCAUCGCUUACCUUUGAGGGCGCGUUGCGCUCAGUCCUUUUGCAGUCAAAAGAGCAGUUCAGGGAGGACUACGUUGUAGUGAAGCGCAACGCGCAGCGCACCCACAUACGCGUUUGGGUGGCUCCGCAGCUGGUGAUUUGUCAACCGACUCACGAGUGGGCCUGGUGGUACGCGGAGGUUUCCGCCUUCGUGCACUGGUUUCGGGCGGUUCAACGGGCGUUCUACGUCAGUGGCGUCCCCGAGGCGUCUCCUGGUUCGAUGCCCGCGUUGGCGGAGAGCGCGCAAAGCGAUCUGCAUGUCACUGCCUCCGUCGGUAGUCGGAUGUCGGCGUCGAGCUCGUGCACGUCGACUCCUCGUGGCCAAUCCUCACAGAUGGCGACGGGGACGACUGUACCACGUGCGUCGCCGGCGCCACGCGUGCUUAAUGUGACCAUCCAGUCCCUCGACGUUUGCGUUCCUCUUUUCGCGCGUGAUAUCGAGUGCACUGACUUGGAAAUAUUCAGCCGUCAGCCGUCGGCCUUCUCCUCAGCUGCACUACCGGGGUCGCUCGCGGGCACAGUGCCCUGCGACAGCACCUUGAAGUGCGGCGAGUCGCAGCGGCAGUUAUCUACUGAAAUCGCGUCCGGCGAUGGCGACGCGGGUGACGGGAGGCCACGCGAUGAGGCAACCCUGCAAAGCGGCGAUGCCGCGCCCGCUGCACUGUGGCUUCGCACAACGGACAGCAUUCAGAGCUUUGCGGUUGAAGGGGACACCGACGGGGAGGAAUACACGGACUCUUCGUGCUCCUCGCCUAGUGCCAGUCCGGACAUGUUCGCGCGUGUCGCAACAGAGCGCUGCUUCUUGAAGAACGAGACUUGCCUUGUGCUGUCAGUGUCCACCACGCGGCUGUGGACCGUUGCACCUCCGAGGAAGCGGUACAAGGGGACCGAGAACGAGUACUGCCUUUGCAUCGGCGACCAAAGCAAGGCCGUCCGCGUGUUUUGCCAAAACGGCCACAACACACAUACUCCCACUUCCAGCCGGCAGCUUGAACUGCUCUCAUUUGUCGCUGGUGAGGUGCGUCUAAAUCCCAAGGAGCUCACGGUGCUGCUCAACAAGGGUAUCGACGCCGUCGCUGACCCCUGUGCGUUUGCGCUAGUGAACGAUGCGCUGCUGAAGCCGACAGUGUUGGCCGCCGCUGACGCACAUGGGCAGGCUGUGCGCGCUCUGACGGCCGAACUCCGGCAGGCAGAAUGCAGGUGGUCCGGCACGCGAGGAGCUGCUGCUCCGUGGCGGUUGGCAACCUCGACUUGUGUGGAGCUACGAGCAGACAGCGAAUCGCCGCCCGUCCUUCGGGAAGUGCCACUGGACUGCGCGCGUCACAUCCUAUCUGCUCUUUCCGCCCCGCUCUUCAUCGCACGGAGCUCGGCGACGACGGCUGCCCAUGCUAUCUCAAGAGGCGAGCUCGCUACUGGUGUCUUCGGCGGCCGAGUUUGUACUGUCGGCGUGUGCGUGGCGCGUCUUCUUAUUCGCUCUGAGGCGAACGUGGAUCUCGGCGAGUUGGUGCUGGUAGCCCCCGAGCACUUGCCACCUACCACGGAACCGUACCGCGAGGCGCUUUCUGCGCUCGGUGCAGAGGAGCCGCGCGCGAUUGAGCUAAUCUGCAACUUUGCCGACAGUCAGUGGCAUGCCGUAGAGCGGAGCAGCUACGACCCGCUACCGCUGUGCCCGGCAAGGGAAAAAGUGUGCCCUCGGCUCCUUCUCUCCAUCCCGGACAUUACCAUGACCACCACCGCGGGGCGGAAGUUGCUCACCAUCGAGCACUUGAUGCUUGUCCAGACCUGCACGGCGCCCAGGAAGCCUGAGGCGGCGCUCACGAUCCAAACCGUGUCGGCGUUCUGCGACAUUGUCCUGGUCGAACUGUUGGAAGUGUUAAUCGGCACUAUGUGCACCAUGCGGUCUAUCAAGCUGCCUCCGCAGGCGGCACCCUAUGUCCUGACAGGGGCGUUGCGCAGCGAGGCCGCGGACUCUGAGAUGCCGCAAAGUCGCUUCUUCGGUGUGCUCCCGAUCAGCGUGCGCGCGCACACUGCCCGAUUUCAGACCCCCCUGAGCACAGACGACGUCGUGGAUGCGCCGUACGUGGAGGUGACUACCACGAUAGAGGAUGCCCUCUGCACUCUUGAGCCCUUGACAGGCGGCACAGGUCGGGGUGGAAAGCAUGUGCAUCUCCGCUUCAGCGUCCCGGAGGCGAUGCAGAUCGCCGAUUACAUUGGCGGGGACCCCGAAGUGCGCAGUCUGAUUUCGGCGUACCCGUGGGCUGCCUGCACUGGUGAUGGCACUGCACAUGCCCUACACUGUGUGGUCGACGUCACGCUUCCCGGCUCAUGCGUCGGAGACACCGACACGUCGACAUUACCGCGACCGGGGGUGCCGCCGUCCACGACGUGUCGCGCCACAUUGGUGGGCGGUGCGAUUCACGUCUACUGCCCGUUCCUCUACUUCUACGCGGCAGCCAUAAAAGCAGAUGAGCGAAUCGUGCGUCUCGACGAGCUGGCUCGAUCACCGUUGCUGCGCCACGGGUAUACCCACGCGCCCUGCUUUGCAGAUGGCACCCCCCGAUCCAGGGUGGUCGGCGGCGCUCGUGCGUCCCGGGAGGCGACGACGCCGUUGCCGCUCUCGGUGGAGGCCACGAUAUCGGACCUGGAUGUUGUUCUCGCGACAGAUGCAGCAGUGCCGAUUGACAUGACUAAACCGAGCACCUUCUGUGUCGUCCAUGUUGAGCAGAUCGUGUGCAUGCUGCAGCAGAUCACGUCAGCGUCGCCUGGUGCGUCAGCCACGUUGGAGACACAGACGCACGCCUCCGUCGACACAAAUCGCGUGCAGCUGCUGGAUGUGUUGUCCGCACCGUCGCGCGAUGUCUGCCUUCCCGAUGUGAAGUUGCGCGCCCAUAGGGGCGUGCGGCUUGUUCCAAAGGAGGAUCUUACCGGCUACGCGUAUCAGCGCGGCGCGCCCGAUGACUGGGCUUUUCUGGUGGGAGUGCACCCCGCAUGCGCGCCCUAUCCACAGGGCACGGCAUCUGUACACGAAGCAGCCAGUAGCACUGCAAGCCGGCCCUCUGACGUGACGAUUCGCAUGAGCGCGCAGCAAUGUCGCAGCCUUGUCCGCUUCUUCUUAUAUAACGUGACCCGGCUUCCUAUCCACUCAACCAGGCGUACGCCGAGGGUCGGCGGUGACCAUCUGCAGCGUACGUCGACGCCCCCAGCAACUGUCACCUUUCCAAUGGGAGGGCCCAAGCCACUUUCGUCGUUAUACCACGGUGCGGAAGCGCCGUCGCACCAGCAAGCCGCUUUGUCGCCGUCGGUAACGCUGCUGCUCACUAUUCCUGCGGUGUCUAUCCUGAUCGACACAGAUGACUACGUUGCACCCGACAGGAACGCGCGCCAGUCAACGAUGCCGCGGACAACCGAGGAAGACGAAAGCGAAUCCAUCGCUCCUGCAGCGCCGCCGCCGCGACUGCCGUCAACGCGCCGCGUCAGCUACGAGGUAGGACUGCGCCGCGGCGGGCAACUAUACUCCGCCGCGGGCGGGUGCUGGUCCACAUCACCGGUAAAGAACGGUCAGUUGAGCGGCCUGGAACUGGUGGCGAGAGAAGAGAAGCUGGAGAACUCCACUGGAGACGCCGAUGUGACGGAGACAACAAGCACACACGUCCUUCUGACGAUUGACUUGGUGGGUAUGGCGUUUCUCGAGCGGCGUGCUGGCCGAGCGUCGAGCGAAGUGGACGACGAUGCGAGGAAUGACGCCGCGGUCGUCAAGGUCGCUGCGGCGGUGCGACACGCCCACUUCAGAGUGCCACACAUCAAGUGGUGGCUGCUGCUGUACAGCAUAUUUGCCGGUGUCUGCUCGACACAGGGCAGUCGCCAAAGCAGUGCGGCACGCACACCAGGCAAAAGCGGAAGUGCCGGCACUAUAGCAAGGUUUGGCGAGGCAGGCCAGCACGGAAACGAAGGCGCCAGUGGACAAGGCAGCAGCGCCUUCGGCGAUCAUCGCGGGACGAGCCGGGGCGAGUACAUGGACGGGGACAAGGCGGCGUCGCCGACAAGAGAGAGACACCUCGCGUCGCGGCAGCGUCGCUCGCGGCGGCUUCACGGAACCGUCGAGAUCACGCACACGGAGGUCAGUUUUUGCACCGUUGACUGCGCUAAAGGCGACCGACAGCCAUUGUGCCGACUCACUGUGCCCGAGGCCAGGCUGACAGCGUCGCCUCUGCCCGCUCUGCAGGAAGGCGGCCGUGCGCACGUGAACAACGCGGGGCGCCUUUACGACAAGUUUGUCUUGGAGGUUCCCCACUGCCCGGAGCUGCUGCUCCUGUGUGUCUCAGGGGAGUCUGAUGGCGCCGCGGGCCUAGAGUCACAGCUCUCGUCCGGGUCCAGCUACGCCUCCGUACUUCGUCGACAGUCUGCCGAAGCUCCUUCCACGGCAUCUGCUGCCCCCGUCGUAAAGAGCAGUUUCUGGAGGCAGGCUACCGCUGCGACGGUGACACCCGCUUCGAAGCCGCCGCUGCUACCGGCGCGUAGUAGCGAGGCCUGCAUCUCUCUUGGCCUUGUUUGCUUCUCGGACGCCAGCAGUUUGAGAUCGCUUCGGUACGGGCGCUGCUACCAAGUAACGGAUCUUACCUUACACCGCACGUCUGUGGUGCAGGUGCGGCUGCAGCGCAUGCUUCUCGACAUCCCUGCUGUCCUACUGUUCUCCCUUGCGCGCGAGGUGGUGCGGCAGGUGAUGGAGACGCAAUCCAUUGAAGGAAUGAAGCCGCACGCCCACGCUGCGCCGCGUGAUGGCAGAGAUGCCGAGUCGCCGGCGCUUACGUACAUAGGUAUUGAGGCGGAGCUUACGGAUGUAGAGGUGCGGCUGUCUGCAGAGGCUAUACCUCCAGGUGAACCGGCGGCGAGUUGCGAUGCUGGCCGUGGCCCCGUUUCCUGGAGCGUUGCCAUCAGGUCAGCUCGGCUGACAACGAGUGUCCAGCUGCAGAGCGUUCUCACGAACACCCGAAUGCCCGCGUCGCUCAUUGGCGACGGGCUGAGUCGUGGUUGGCGAGUGCAGAUAUGGCACAUGAUCCCGCAGCUGGUCGUUCAGGGCGUCGUCGUCUCUACCAACAGCGACACGCAAGCGUGGCGGACGCUUCCAGAUGUGCGCAUAAAAGUGUCGCUCCCUCUGAAGCGCAGCAUCAUCUGCGUGCGUGGCAAGGGAGCCACAGCUACGGACGAUGGGCUUGAGCUGUCCUCGUCGGCUGACGAAUCGGCGCUGCGCUGGCGGCACAGCAGCACGGCCAACGGUUUUCAGAUGGAGCCGACAGCGCUGACGGCGCUCAACGGCCUGCACUAUCACGUUUUGGCGACUCUCCACGUCGAUGUGGGCGCCGAGGGCGAUGGCGCCGUCGGCACGGCGCCGGGGCAUGAUGCGGCUUCCGUGCAGGUUCGUCUGUCCACUAUUUUCACACUGAUAUCCGCUGCAGCGCGGCUGGUCGCGUUGUGGCGGCAGACACGGCGCACAUGCGAGUCGAGCGUUGCAGCUGCAGUGACCGCAGGCACCACGAGCAGACACGCCGGCUGGUGGCGUCCCGGUUCGAGGCAGCGCCAUGGGCUGAUUACCUGGUAUGAAUUCGAGCUGGGCCUCUCUGGGCGGCGUUUGGAGUUGAUCAUGGACACAGCCGCGGCGACGGUUGGCGAGAAGGCCGCCUCCGCGCUGACAAACGACUGUGCUCUGUGCGUUUCUGUGGGCGGUGCCAUCACCGUGCAGGUGGACAGAGAGGCUGGCGAGGAGGCAGCGGAGCCAACGACCGUCUUCGGCAUAGUUCAACGGGACGGAGGGUAUAACGAAACGAUGACUGAGUGCGAUGGCCGCAUUGAUAACGAGAAAGCAGUGGUUGGGGGGACGCACACGCUCUUCCGCCUGCGGUCGGCGCCGGUGCACGUCCACGACGGGGCCGGCAACCUUCUGUUGCACGUUUCUGCGGUUGCUCAGGGCGGCAUGGCGGACGCAAUGGUGGCUGACUACGCCUCUGCUGAGGCGCUGCUGGACAUCAACGCGGGGCGGGUUGUGAUUCACGCAAGCUCGCUAACCGCAGCCUCAAUGGUGUGCUGGUGGAAAGCAUACCGCGCGUUGAAGCAGAGGUGGGAGAGCGCCGUAACCUGCAUGAGACAAUCUUCGACGUGUCCACCGGAGGCGACACGCAAGCCAGAGCUGGCGAUGGGAAGUGAAGGGGGAUGUAAACGAUGUUGGUUGCAGCAAAUCAAUGUGGAGGUCCGCCACACCGAGUUGGUGCUUGCCCCCGCCGCCCGUGUGUGUGCCCAGCAAGCACACACUACGUUCUCUCCAACGGACGUGGGGGUAGGCCUAGACGCAGCGGCGGCGCUGGAGCUGCGCUGUGAAGAGGUAUGCAUGUAUUCGAUGUUGCCGCAACCUGGCGCUGCCUACGGGACGGCGCCCAUAGUUCUCGCUCGGACAGUGUCGCCGGUGCUAGUGGUCACGCGUGCUCAAAAGCAGCGCCUCUUAGUGCAGUACCGUACGCCAUUUGUGUCGAUCAUGAAUGGCGACAAUCACAGCUGGGCCCUGUGCGCCUUCCGCAUUGCAAAGGUGGUGACGGGCACAGUGACUGCUUUGGCUGCCCGUGCGGAAGUCACACCUCUGCACGCGUCGGAGAGCGACCCGCCGACGGGUGGUGCGGCAUCGUCAUGGUCGGCGUGGAUUCCCCGUGCAGAGGUGGAGAUCCACAAGGCAGAGCUUCUGUGCUUCGCACCCCACAGUAAGCGUACCUGCUCCGCCGCGCCGGUCGUGUGCUUGGAGGCGCGCCAGGCGGUUUUGCACUGCGUAGACUCGGCAAGUCUGAUCGAAUCCAGCAGUGUUGGCACAGUUGUCGGCGUACGAAUGGAGUCGUCUGCAGUAGUUUCCGCGACGUAUAGCAGCGGCCCCUCGACAGAGGUUAAAGCGCAUCCCCUGCUCGACGACGUGAAAACGACCUUCGUCCUUUCUUCUUCCUCGCAGUCAGCGUCGGACCCAGUCGAGGUGACCCUCUCGGCCGCCGCAGCAACGGAGCAGAAUGCCGUGUGUCUUCGCCUGCCCGCUGGUGACAGUUUGGAGAAGACGGUGGCCGCGCUUUGGCUGCUGGCGCGACAAAAGGUUCCGCGCCGAUACGCGCAGGCGAGAGCGGCGAAAGACAGUGCGGCGCCUGGCGACAGGGUCUGCUGUGGGGCAGGCACUCUGUGGCACGUGCGAGCAAACGUUCCGCGCAUGCUGCUGCGUUGCGCCGUGGCGUCUGCAGCCAUGUCCUCCUCAGAGCAGACGCUGCGGCAUCUUUGCUCGAUCAGCGUGGAUGACGUACGCGCCGAGCUGCGCACUCGACGUGGCGGUAACGAGGGUGACGACCGGCGACCGCACGCGGAGGUGUGGGUGGGCAGUGUCGUGGGUAAAACAGUUGUCACAGACGCCGCAGAGGCACUGAACGAGCAGGCCAUGGAGAUGCCAUCGACGUUCUUGGAGUUGCGUCCAUUGGUGGAGCCGAGUGGCGAUCGCGCUCCCGGCGCCGCGCCCGCCACUGGCGGAGCUACCAGCACCCGCAGCAAUAACCGCGCGGGGUUUUCUGUGUUGCAGCGAUCUCUCUCACUUUCGACGGGAGGCGAAGAGCACGGUGGCGCAGCGCAGGACAUCGCUGCCGACGAUGCGACAGCUCUCGUGAUUCGUCUUCACGCGCUGCACGUACACCCAUCCAUGAGGUUUCUCAAGAUGCUGAUGGAGCACGCGCUACACCCGUGUGUUGCAGGUAUUUCCGCAGCGAACGCGGACGCGUCUUCGACCCACAUACUCGACGACCUGGAACAUACUGUGUUGCGCGUUGGGAGCGCCACUGCGGUGCUGCCAGCAUCUGGCACGCUGAAUCGCCACGCUGGACGGGUGAGGGUGGUCGAGGUGGCGACAGACUGGCAGCUCUGCGAAGACUUGCGGCUCGGCGGUGAAGGCGGCUUCCAGCUACACUUCUGCGGCUCUGCUGGGCGUAGCGUAAUCACCGUGCGCGGUGGCGGUGCGGGUGAUGAAAAGGUUCAAGGCAGCGCGGCAACUAUCUUUCUUUCUUUACCAGUGGGUGCGAACGGAGAAGUCUGUCCCGCCAUACGCGUUGACCCGGACAUGACGGUGCGCUUCGAGAAUGUUCGGGUUGUCGUCGGAGAGGAGGCACAGGCGGUGAGGCGAGACGCGUGCGUGCUGGAGGCUUAUGUGGAGCUUGGCGAGCGAUCUCUGUGCCUCCUGCCUCCUCCACUUGUGGGUGUGAGUGCUUCGCCCUCGACGGCCGCCACGGACGCGCAGGUGGAGAAGGCCGCAGCACGCGUCUCGCAAGCCAACUCCGGCGCCGCUGCGAAUGAUACAGCUGUGCCCCAAGUGCCGACGACCUCGCUGUGGGCGGUGUCUACGAUGUUCUCAGUCGACGUUGCUGUUGGCUUCGAGGUGUCCCUCACGGCUGGCGCGCGGCGUCUUGCGGCGACGGGUGCGGCGAAAGGACGGUACCGUUUCGAGGAGAAGCUGAACGCGGAGCGCACACUGCGCAGCGAGCACGAGGGCGAAUGCACCAUCGUUUUGCACACGUGUCUCUCUGAAAGCGGCCCUUUGACAGACACCCCUGUCGCCGCCACAGCCCAGAUGUGUCUCACAGCAGCCGAAAACCAACACCGGGUCAUGCUGGACUGGGGCUCGACGCUGUGGCGGUUGCCGCUCGGACACGCGCACAUGUUGAUCGAACUGGGCAGGCUGGCGCAACAGGUGCUCUGCCAGACCUUUUCGCCUUCGCCGCCACGAAGGCCGUGGCACCCUCCAGCUGCAGGUGACGGGUUGGCGCGCGGGCCCACACGGCGUGCCACUACGUUGGAUGUGAGGGCGAAUGUGCCGUCGUGGGCGCUCACACUGACCAGCGACGCUGGCAGCGCACUGGCGAUACUGCUUGUGGACCAUGCUCGCCUGCAGUGCUCCACGGACAUGGACGUCUCAGACGUUGCGCUGACGGCUGAGGCUACAGUGUCCCUGCGAGACAGUAUCGAGCUCGAUGAUGAGUCAGGCGAACACCAGGGGGCGACUGUACGGUACGCUGUGGAGAGGUCGAGCGUGGCGUCAGCGCCGGCACCGAUGGCAGCGCGUGUGCUGUUCAGUGCCCAGCCACACCUAUACCUCUCAUUCACGCGCUUCAGCCCUGGUUGCCGGUCUUUGUCCGUCUCUGUCCAGGUCGACAGCGUUAUCGCGACGCUGCCUCUAGUGACCGCCGCGCGGCUUCUGCGGACUUCUGCUCGGGAGACGGACGCUGGCAAGCGUGUCUUCUGGAAUGAUAGCGGUGUUGAGAUGGAGGUCGCGGAGUCGGCACCGCAUGCGGGAGCACCUCUCAGGAGCGUCUCGCGGUGGCGCCUGCUUGCAGAACCGGGACGACUUUUACACACGAGCAUCCCUGCCUCCUGUGCAGUGGUGAUGUUGACGCCGGUAGCAGCCCCCGUCAGCGACGUCUCCUCUACUGCCGGUCGAAAGGAUGACGGAGGCAGCGACGGCGUUGCUGUGAACCUCGAAGCCUUGGGCGAUGGUACUGUGGCCCGAGUGUCACUUCCGGGCUACACUUCUGCGCUGGGAGCCUUGGACUUGAUCGUGCGGAAGAGCGUUCGCGACAGGCUGGAGGUGGUGCACUUGACAAGCUCGGUAGUCCUCGCAAACGUGUUCUACGCCGGCCCCGCAGAUGGGAGUGCCGCGGCGCCGGCAGCAGCGGGCAUCGUCAGCGUGACUGCACACGGCGCCCGACUAACUGUGCCGCCGCGUUCGGCGCGAUACGUCCCCCUGCCUCUUCUUCGGGAAUGCCUGACGCUAGAGCUCGACGGCGGCGCGUACGCGCCAGCUGCGAAGAUGCUGACAUGGGCGAUGAUGGCGGAUGCCAUGACAUUGCUGGCUGAUCAGGCAGCCGGCGGUGGCGGCGAAACGAGCGGCGGGCCAGGAAACGGUGCCGCCGCGUCGCCGAAGAGCGGAGCGGCUGCUGGCUUCAUGCUCUACGGCGACAUGGAUGCACUUGGGAGGGACCGCGGCGAAAACGACAACGGCCACGGCGGAACGUUGCGCGCCCCUGCGUUUUGCGAACGUGUGCGCGCGCUUGAUGCCUUUACACUGUCCUUUCCGAUGCUGCUUUCCCCACUAACUACGAUUCCCGUGAAGCCGCUCUGUGGUGAUGUCGCCGGCGGCGGCGUCAACGAUGCCACAUUUGCCUCCGCACCCGCCCGACAGUCGGAAGUUGCCGUAUCUCCCACUGAGAAUACCGCCAGAAACGGGCGAGUGGUGCAGCUGACGUGGCGGCGUCGUUGCUCACGGAUGGUCGGGCCACUCUUUAGUGGGAGGCUUUCGCCCAGAGAGUACACAGUCGCCGUGGGGCCUGUGUGGACGCUCUGGAACUGGACUGGCUGCCGGCUGCGUCUUCGACUGCGCACUUCUCGCGAUGGAGUGGUCAGCUCGCCAGUAAAGGCGCCUCAAGGCACGUCGUCCCCGCAGCUAUCCCUCCUUACAAGCAGAAGCAGCGAUGCCGUGGCCACAGCAGAUGUGGAAAACGGUGCAUGCUUUCAGUGGACGCCAACGACGCUGGACGCUCUGCAGGGCACGGUGUUCGCCUUCUUUCAGCUGAUGGUGCCGUCGCUCGCGGGCGGGUCUACGACCCUGCCGAACUCGCCCCCUUCCAUGCAGUGGUGGUCCGUCGCCGCGCCGAUCUCAUUGCAGGAGCCGCCGCCGUUGUACAUACGGCUGCAGCAGGGCAGCGACACAACGCGCGGCGCGGUUCGCAUCGAGCAACAAGGUCCGUCAAGCGUCGUGGUGCGGUGCGCCGCGUUGCUCCGCUCGGCGUUGGCGCGGCCAGUGUAUCUCCGGGAUGCCGAGCAGCCUCAGCCUCUGCUCGGGGCUGGCGCACACGGCUGCGUGCUGCCGCAGCAGCAGGUGCCUCUCUUCUACUCCGAGUAUGUGACCACAUUUGCGCCACACGCUGACCGCGUCGGGUUCACGGUGGCUACAAAUCCUGUAACAAGCACUGGGGCACGCAACGCAUCUCUGCACGAGAGCGACGCCUACUACCUUACAACGCCGGUUGUGGCAGCAUUGCUGUCGGCGCAGGAGCUGGCAUAUUGCACGCGCUUUUACACAGUGUCCGCUGUGCCCGACGCACGAUUUGAGAGAUCUGCUGCCACGCUGCAUGGGAAGGACGAAAAGGACCUUGGAGAGCAGUGCGUGCCAGCGGAAGCACUGCCGUGUCUAUGGACACCAGAGCCGCCGACGGUUGUGCAGCUGAGCUCACUGUGUCGCAUUCGCAACACACAUGCGCACCGCACGCUGCUCGCGAUGCCGUUCGACGCGUCGGCGCCGAGCAACGCGGAAGGGGCAACGACGGCACUGUCGAUGGUCACGCUCAUCCCUCCUGGCGAGGAGCGGGAGGUGACGGAGUUCUGUCGACACGCAAAGGAGCCAGAGAUGCAGUUCUGUUAUUGCACAAGUGGUGGCAACGCUCCGGCGCACGCGUGGUCACCGCCCGUGAGGUUGCUCUCACUCGCCACAGCGACGCAGCCGCUUGUACUGAAACACACAUGUGUGUCGCGCGACCUUCACGAAGUGGAGAGCGAUGCGGAGGCAGAGGAGCCCCGUUUCAUCAUGAACCCAGUGCGUCGUCGCGUGGGUGAGGCAGUCGCGUUGGCGGUGGAGCACUUCCGCUGUCUCACGGUGAUGUCGAGCAUGACGAGCGUCUCCUUGUGCGUAAGUGUUGCGCUUCAGGCCGCGCCACCGUUGAAAAUUGUGAAUCGUCUCAACACCACCUUGCAGUUUGCUCAGUGCGCUGUCACUACAGGCUCGGACGUCGCGCCGUCACCGGCACGGCGGGGUACCGUGACCACAGCCUUGUGCUCCUGCGCGCCGCGUCCUUGCAGUUACGUGGUGGCGGCAGGGACGAUGAGCUAUGGCUGCUGGGAGGUGCCGGUGCUAGAGUUACCAGGGCUACGGGUCACAUUGUAUUCGAAUGUGCGCCAAGGCUUCACCGUAAGCCAGGAUGUGGACCUGCUGCGGUGCGCGGCUGCGCCAUCGUCCGGUGCGCGAGUCGGGAGCACAGACGCAUAUGUCUACGUGAGCCUCGACAACCGACGGCGUCAGUACACGGUGACGGUCGCGUCAUCCCGCCAACUGGAGGGUCGAAUGCUGUUUCAGCCACGCCGGCUCACGCAGCUGGAGGUGUACGUGCACAGUUGCACCGUCUAUGUUGCUGCGAUGACACUGCCGAGAGCGGGUCCCUUCGCGCGCAAGAGUCUCAUUGCGCAAGGUGCACGGGGCCGUUUGCGGCUGCGUCGUGGCGCCAGUAGUGGUGAGAGCGCCAAUCGCGACACGGUGCCGCUCAUCGCUACAGACGAAGACGUUCUGACCUUCCUCGAGGAGCAGGAGCUCGAUGUUGUUCUUGUGCGCCUCCUUGGGUUUUACGGCAGCGCUACCCUGACGGAACGACACCUGAUGGGGAGCGCAUCGUUGGCACUGCUGGAGGUGGUAGACUGCACCACCGUCGACGCUGCCUAUCCUGUUAUCCUUCGGGUUGGGCCGCGUGCGGGCAGCGGCUCCGCGACUACCAUCGCAGGAAAUACUGUGGAGCCCAGUGCUGAGACUGAGCAAGGGCGUGCCAGCAGUCCGAUAUUGCCGGAUGUUUUCGGGGGAGGGGCGACGUUGACAUCGUCGACAGGCGUGCCGCACUUUAAGGACCCUUCGUGGUUUGCGUUGGAGAUUCAGCUCACUCGACCCGGACAGGCCGCAGCCGCGGAUGGCGUUGUCCUGCUUCCUGUGCCGCGAUUGCGCGUCACGGUGCCACCCAUUGUAGUGCGCGCUGACGACGACAUCCUCUUUACUCUGCGCGCCACAGCGGAGCGACUUGGCGAGGAGUGGUCGCCAGCAGCGUCUAGCGAGCGGGCCGUCCACGCCGCGGAGCGGCGAGGCAGCCUUUUCUCCACGCGCGGGGAUGCUGUGGCUGACUCGGCGACGCACUUGCCCCAUCGAGCGUACAUCGUUUUCGUGUAUGCCCUGCAGGUGUCUCCUAUUCUGGCAGAAGUGACGUACACCCGUUCUGGCCACUGGCGCUACAACCCUUUUAAAGGGCUGGCGCAGAUCCCGGAACACCUCAUCCCCUCUGUCGAGGAUCUGUCGAUCUCACUGAAGGAGGUGCGAUUACAGGAGGUGGAGCUGCGAUGGAGCCACUCGCUCUUCGGCAUCGCAAAGUCGUUUCUGUGGCCCCUCUACCGCACGCAGCUGUUGCUCCAGAGCUACAAGGUUCUCGGCUCAAUGGAUGUACUCGGUAACCCUCGCGCGCUGCUCGGGAGCUGGUCCCGCGGUGUGUGGGAUCUCGUCACAAACUCCUCUGGUCAGAGUCGGUGGACCGACACCCGCGAGUUCUUGCGCACUACCACAUCAUCGACGCUGCACUCUGUCGGGGUGCUGGCGCGCAGCAUCGGCAACCUAGCCGGCACCUCACCUAUUACAGUCGCACCACGACUAUCUUGUGGUAGCUCCUCAAGUGAUUUCAGCGGACAUGCCGUGCUCGCGACAUCGCAGCGUCGUGGCGUCCUUGGCGAGGUGCUGCACGAAGUUGGCGGCGGCAUCUCGGACGCUGUGACGAAACCGAUCCGCGGUGCUCGCGAGGGCGGCGUCAGCGGCUUCCUCAUCGGCAUCGCCGCGGGUGUGGCCGGUCUCGCGGGCCGCCCGGUCUUUGGCUUCUUUCGCGGCGUCAGUGUCACGUCAGAGUUUUACGCGCGCCUCCUGGGUGGUUUGGGCGAGCUAACGGAGCAUGAGGCACGCCAUCUGGGUCUGGAGCGCAACUACCUGAUUGUGUCGACCAGCGCCAGGGGCGCGCCGGUGUCGGAGGCGACUGAGGGUGUGGAGAGAGAGGUUUCCGGCACAAGUGCCGCGGGACAUGUGAACCGUGUGCCGCGCGCGUCGUUGCCAAGGGACCAGUACAUUCUCACGUACGCUAUGUACGAUCAGGUCUUCGCAGACGUUCCUCGGUGGCGUCGCGGGGACGAAACCAAUGUUCGGCUCGCUGUGGACCGGGUCGGGAUCUACAACACGGCGCUUCACACACCGUAUGCGGCCUUGUGCACCUUUUUGUCUCCGAGCGAGUUUCGCAACGCCCUGCCUUGUGCCCUCACAGCCCUGCUCGCGGGCAACAUCAUUAGCUUGCUCGCCCGUAACUGCACCGUUGACAGUUUCCGAGGAAGUGCCGGCGUUGACCAGGGGAACGACAAGGCGCCCGACGAGCCCGGCACAGGCGAAGGACAGGUGACACGGGCGCGCCUGGCACAUGAGUGUGAGCGUGCAUCGUACAUCAAAGCGUCUCUUGGGGUGCGGGCAUUGCACACAUACGUGACGGAUGAGGUGUUUGUGCACGUCUGCUCUCUAGAGGAGAUCGAGGCCUCCUUGAAGGAGACGGAGGCGCAGCAAAAAUACUCUCGGGCGCUGGCCAGGGCGAUCUGUGCCGCUGGCGAACGUCUGUUAGCGCCUUGAAGACUCUGGAGUGGUGGAGUGGAAAAGAAUGGCGCACAGAGCCUCACCAGUCGAAGCGUGGUGGUAGAUGCAAAGACUUGUAUCGUACGGGUGACAGUGGGCGCUGUCGUUUUUUUUUUUUCGACGUGCGCGCUGGGCGCGUUUGAUGAACUUUGCGGCAAGGAAUGGCCCAUUUUCGGUCUAGAACACCGCAUCGGCAGCUCUUCCUUGACGACCGUGCGUUGCCAGCAUCUCCGCUCUUGACGCGUGGUCAGGCGCUUCCCAUCUACCUACGAGGCGAAAAGCAGAAAGAAACAGUCCACAGCCGUCUGUGCAUGUGGAGAGCGGACGCUGCUGGCCAGACCUCAUCGGGGCCGUUACGCCUGCCUCUGUGCCGGAGGGCGUCACUAGCUCGCGCUUGCGCUUGCGUGCUCUCUCUCUCUAGAGUGAGAGAAGGGGUGGAACAGGAAGAAGAGAACAGGCGCCGUAUGCACGUCCGUCUUCUCCACCCUGCACAAUGCCACAUAGUUCCCAAGUGUGAGUCUCUCAGCACUCAUCUGCACCUCUGUACCCACACACUUAUCUCCAUAUUUUUUUUGGCACCAUCGAUUCCUCUUUACGUUGUGCCCCGCCAAAACGUCGUGUGCGCCUCCCCCCUCAUCUACACGAUGGCUGAUCCCACCCCCUAUCACGUGUGCGACAUGCAUCAAUGCCGUUGGACGAUUCCAAUCACGGCCACUAUCGCUUCUCUCAUACAUCCUCAAACGGUCGUAUCUUCCCUUGACGCCCCGGCGCCCCACACGACUGUACCCCGAACGCGGUAAAAAAAAAAACAG
rnacentral:misc_RNA from 1 species